UGGAGGCCUAUCCCUGCACGACUGAACCGUGGGACCCGUAAGCUUGCUCCUUGGGUGACGAGUGGCGGACGGGUGAGUAAUGUCUGGGAAACUGCCCGAUGGAGGGGGAUAACUACUGGAAACGGUAGCUAAUACCGCAUAACGUCGCAAGACCAAAGAGGGGGACCUUCGGGCCUCUUGCCAUCGGAUGUGCCCAGAUGGGAUUAGCUAGUAGGUGGGGUAACGGCUCACCUAGGCGACGAUCCCUAGCUGGUCUGAGAGGAUGACCAGCCACACUGGAACUGAGACACGGUCCAGACUCCUACGGGAGGCAGCAGUGGGGAAUAUUGCACAAUGGGCGCAAGCCUGAUGCAGCCAUGCCGCGUGUAUGAAGAAGGCCUUCGGGUUGUAAAGUACUUUCAGCGAGGAGGAAGGUGUUGUGGUUAAUAACCGCAGCAAUUGACGUUACUCGCAGAAGAAGCACCGGCUAACUCCGUGCCAGCAGCCGCGGUAAUACGGAGGGUGCAAGCGUUAAUCGGAAUUACUGGGCGUAAAGCGCACGCAGGCGGUCUGUCAAGUCGGAUGUGAAAUCCCCGGGCUCAACCUGGGAACUGCAUCCGAAACUGGCAGGCUAGAGUCUUGUAGAGGGGGGUAGAAUUCCAGUGUAGCGGUGAAAUGCGUAGAGAUCUGGAGGAAUACCGGUGGCGAAGCGGCCCCUGGACAAGACUGACGCUCAGUGCGAAAGC
rnacentral:rRNA from 1 species